UACGUAGGGACCGAGCGUUGUCCGGAUUCAUUGGGCGUAAAGAGCUCGUAGGCGGUUUGUUGCGUCGGCUGUGAAAUCCCGAGGCUCAACCUCGGGUCUGCAGUCGAUACGAGCAAACUAGAGUGUUGCAGGGGAGACUGGAAUUCCUGGUGUAGCGGUGAAAUGCGCAGAUAUCAGGAAGAACACCCGUGGCGAAGGCGGCUCUCUGGGACGGUACUGACGCUGAGACGCGAAAAGCGUGGGGGAGCGAACAGG
rnacentral:rRNA from 1 species